UGCCAGCACUUUCUUCCUGAGCCUUGCAGUAAAAGGCAAAUCGCUACUGUUGAUGACAAGUUCAAAGCUCAUUGUCAAUAUAAGUUUCUGGAUUUUUUUCCCCCCUCUCAGCUUCUCUGACGUCUUAGAAGUUCUAGAACCUGGGAGUUAAAGGGACAAACUCUAGAACUAAGAGGCCAGGAUCCAAAUCCCUGUUCCAAUGAUUAUAGUUCAGCCAUGGACUGGACAUGUCAUACCUCUGAGCUUUGAUAAUUUAUCUGACAGCAUGUAACAAGUUCAAAUCAACAGCGGCUGAAAUGCAGGAUUUACACUUUGACAUCAAGUGACUACAAGCACUUUUAUGACUAAUAUGUCAUAUCCACGUAGCCAGUUCCCUCUCCCUUCCCUCCAGAUCCACUCCCUUUCUGUUCCUCAUUAGAAAAGAACAAACUUCUAAGAGAUAACAACUGUAACAUGGCAAAAUAAUAUAUAAUAAGAUGAAGCAAAAAAUGAUCAUAUCAAACUUGGACAUGAUAACUCAGAAGGAGAAGACUCCCAAGAGCAAGUCAGAGACCCAUUCAUUCCCGUGGUCAGAAGUCUUAUAAAGUCACUAACCUAUUAGCUACAAUAUAGACAUGGGUAAUAUAAUUUUAUAAUAUGUAACAUAUAUUACAUUGUAUGAAUCAUAUAACAUAUAAUUGUCUAUUGUAUAUUGUAUAAUAUAUAGUAUAUAACAUAAAUAUAUGUAGUGACAA